UACAGAGGGGGCAAGCGUUAUUCGGAAUUAUUGGGCGUAAAGGGCGCGUAGGCGGCCUGGCAAGUGGAAGGUGAAAUCCCUCGGCUUAACCGAGGAACUGCCUCCCAAACUGCUUGGCUUGAGACCAGGAGAGGUGAGUGGAAUUCCCAGUGUAGCGGUGAAAUGCGUAGAUAUUGGGAGGAACACCAGGGGCGGAGGCGGCUCACUGGACUGGUACUGACGCUGAUUGUGCGAAAGCUAGGGGAGCGAACGGG
rnacentral:rRNA from 1 species